rnacentral:lncRNA from 1 species
CGGAGCAAACGUCUUGUAAUAAAAAAAGACAUUAAUCACUUAUUCCUUAUCUGUUGAUUCUCAUCUUGAAGCUCGUGUUUAACUUAAGUCUCCAGUAAUAAGGUCAAAAAUAUAUCGUAAAGUGAGCAAUCUCAAGACGAUUUACCCUUUUUGUGUUAACAUGGUCAAUUUUAAUUUUUAUUAUCAUUCAUCCCUGAUCGAAUUUGUAUUUGAAUCUGAUUCUGUUACCUUUGUGAAUCUGCUGACUUAGGCGAUGAACUCCAUUAUGUGAUGUAAAUACUGGUUAAUAAGAUAUA